UUGGAUGGAUCAUCUGGAUGAUAC
rnacentral:snRNA from 1 species